GAGAUGGUGGGAGAGAGAGGAGAGGUGGGAGAGGUGGGAGAGAGAGGAGAUGCGGGAGAGAGAGGAGAGGUGGGAGAGGUGGGAGAGAGAGGUAAGGUGGGAGAGAGAGGAGAUGCGGGAGAGAGAGGAGAGGUGGGAGAGAGAGGUAAGGUGGGAGAGAGAGGAGAUGCUGGAGAGAGAGGAGAGGUGGGAGAGAGAGGAGAGGCGGGAGAGAAAGGAGAGGUAGGAGAGAGAGAGAGGCUGGCCAAUCGUCGGACCCCUGAGGAGCGCGUUCCGCCCCAAAGUGAGCUACCUGAUCUGCAGAGAGGCACAGG
ensembl:lncRNA